AUUUCAUCCUAUUUACUUCAGACCAUUUCUCCAGUUUGUCCAGAUCAUUUUGAAUUUUAAUCCUAUCCUCCAAAGCACUUGUAACCCCUCCCAGCUUGGUACCGUCCGCAAACAUGAUAAGUGUAACAGAGAGAUUCUGUUACUGGGAGGGUUUCACCAUGUCUCAGAGGGUUACACCCUGGUGGGAGGAGGCUAGGCCUGAACUGGAAUAAGGUCACUCUGUUCUUCACAGUGUGGCAGAACCUAGAAUCUCCAUUAGCAAGAAAAAAUCUGGCGGGAAUCACCUUGUGGAAUGGACAAAAGCCCUUCUGAAUUCUCUCACAUUGCCCUUCUCGCCCUGGCAGGCUAUAGAAUAACGUCCACGUUUUGCUCCAGAUCAUCCCGUCCUCCCAGGGGAAGGAAAUGGCUGCACUGGAGCUGUCUCAGGUGUUUCCAGGAGUUCUCUUGUGUGAGGAAUGAGGCCAAGAGAUGAUGUCACACCUCACCUUAUGUAGCUUUUCCACAUGGCGGGAACCCUUUGUUGCAAACUCAGUUUCCAGUCCAGUUUGCGGAAAAAUACAGGGGCCAGUGACUUUCGAGGAAGUGGCUGUGUAUUUCACCAGGGAAGAGGGGGCUCUCCUGGACCCCACUCAGAGAGCCCUCUACAAGGAUGUCAUGCAGGAGAACCAUGGGAUGGUGGUAUUGCUGGGAAGAACUGGGCUCGCAGAUGCAGGGAGCUCUACCGGAGCAAAGACAAAUGGACAGGCACAGUGAAAGAAAACCAAGCCAUUUUCUACAGCAGCAUGGCUCAAGAGCAUUGGCCAGUAUGUACUAUAUUGUCUUCUUUGCUUCCCUGUCCUAAUCUAAGGACUUUCCAAUGAUGUGUUUCAGUUGACUAAUAAACCCUGCUAUGUUUUAAAAGUCUGCCCAGUGUCACAGCAAAAACUUGCUCUGUGCAUUGAAUGAGGAACAGUCUAUGAACAGGAGUGUCGUUCAUCUGGACCUGCUGGCAGAGCUCACAGGUUGAAAUAGGAGUGUUGAAGCCAGAGGCUCAAUCUCAGGUGUUGAAGCUACUCGGCCUAUCCUUGUGGAAGAGUGGGACCCCUUGCGGGUCUAGCACGCUCAAGGGGCACCUCCCAAGGAUUAAAAGCCAGGGCAUUGCACAGAUCUUAUGGAUCCGUGCCAGUGUGCCUUAUGGGGAAAACAUAUAAAAUAAGAAAAGGAUCUAAAUGUGUAUUUACCAUCACCCCCUCAUCAGUCCUCAUGGGAAUACCUCAUCAGUUACAAAGGCCUGGACUACACUAGGAGUUUAUCUCGAAUUUAGCAGCGUUAAACCGAAUUAACCCUGCACCC